UUGAAAUAAAAUUGUUAUUAGUUUUAUUAUUUUUAUAUUUUUAAUAAAAAUAAUUUUUUUUUAUUAAUAUUUUUGAAAAAAUUUAUUUUAUUAUAGUAAAUAGUAUUGAAAAAGAAUUAAUUUAAAUUUUUAUAAAGAAAGUUUUAAUUUUUGUACCUUGUGUAUCAGGGUUUAUUUAAAAUUAUUUUAAUAUUAAAUAUUCUCGAAUUUAAAAGAGCUAAAAAAUUAUUUUAUUUAUUAUAGAAUAAAUAUUUAAAAUAUUUUUUUAGUAAUGAAAUGUUAUUCGUUUUUAAAAAUAUCUAGUUUUUUAAGAAAUAAGUUUAAUUUAGUUAUUAUUAAUAUUUUUUUAAUUUUGUAAAAAUAUAUUGGUAAUAAUUAAUAUAUUUAGGGAUAAGCUUAAAUAUAAAUUAUUAAUAAAAAAUAAAUAUUUAAAAGUUUUAGGAUUAAAAAUUUUCAAAAUUUAAGUAUGUUAUAAUUAAUUUUAUUUAUUUAUAAUUUUUAUUUUUUAUAAAUUUUAUAUUAAAAUUUAUUUAUUAAUUAAAAAUAUUUAGUAAUAUUGAUAAAAUUAGUAUAAUUUUAUGUAUAUAUAUAAUAUUAAAUUUAGGUUAAUUAAAGGAAUUCGGCAAAAUAUUUUUCACCUGUUUAUUAAAAACAUGGCCUUUUGUUAAAAAUUUAAGGUCUAACCUGCCCACUGAUUUGAUUGAAGGGCCGCAGUAUUUUGACUGUGCUAAGGUAGCAUAAUCAUUAGUUUUUUAAUUGAAAGCUGGAAUGAAAGGUUGAAUGAAAAAAUAACUGUCUUUAAUUAAUUUAAUUAGAAUUUUAUUUUUAAGUUAAAAAGCUUAAAUAAUUUUAAAAGACGAGAAGACCCUAUAGAGUUUAAUAUUUAAUAAAUUUUAAAUUUUUUAGUAUUAAUUUGUUUAAAUUUAUUAUAUAUUUAAUUGGGGUGAUUAAAAAAUUUAAUAAACUUUUUUUUUAUUUUUAUAUUUAUAAAUAAAUCUAUGAUCCAAUAUUUUUGAUUAUAAGAAUAAAUUACCUUAGGKAUAACAGCGUAAUUUUAUUAGAGAGUUCUAAUCGAUAAUAAAGAUUGCGACCUCGAUGUUGGAUUAAAAUUUAAUUUUGGUGUAGAAGCUAAAAUAUUAAGUCUGUUCGACUUUUAAAAUUUUACAUGAUCUGAGUUUAAACCGGUGUGAGCCAGGUUGGUUUCUAUCUUUAAAUAGUUAAUAUAUUUUAGUACGAAAGGACCAAAUAUA
rnacentral:rRNA from 1 species